ACGAACAACAGCUACCCACACCCCAAACAUGGCUACGUGUGCCUUCAACUGCUUCAAGGCUGCAGCCUUGUCUGGCUUGCGCAUAAACAUGCCUGGGAACAUCGUUGCUUCUUUUUGAUUUUUGUGUGCGCUGUAGAUUGGAGUCGGCGUCAAUGGAGAGAGAGGUUAAAACCCUAGAUAUUGUUGGGGUUUUAGUGCUACAGAGAGGAAGAAAUGUGGCACCUCAGGUGUUCAUGGGCUUGGGUUUUGUUUUUUAAACCUAGGGUCGGAUUGGACUGACCCCAUCUAUUGUUCGAAAAUUAAAAAAUUAUAAAAAAAUAAUUUUAUAUUAAUAUUUAUAUAUUUUUAUUAAUUUUUUAAUUGGGAAAUAAAUUGUUUUAGCAAGAUGAUUGAGCUGAAGCUCGGUUUAUAAUCUUAUAUUUGAUUUAAAUAACAAAAUAUUAUUUAAAUUAUAUAUUUUUCUAAGUUGGUAUCUAAAUUUUUUUUUGUCAUAAGUGGUCCGUUACCUAAAUUAUUUCAAAAAGACAAUCCUUGUUAAAAAAUUAUUUUAAUGAAUUAUUUUAUGACACCUAACACUUUUAAAUUAAAAUUAAUUUUUUUAAAAAAAUCAAAUCAAAUCAAAUUAAAUUAAAUUAAAACUUUUCAAAUAUAUAUUUUUACUCUCCCCUCCCACCACGAUUAUUUUUUCUCUUUUAAUACACCUUUUUUAACUGUUAAAUAAUUUUGAUCUAUAAAUAUCUAAAAAUAAAUAAAGAAAGUUAUUUUUUUAAAAAAUAAUACAGAGUAAGAAACGAAUCGAAAUCAGCGUUAUAGAAAAAAAAAAAAAGCUUACUGGAAAUUAAGUUUUAUAGUUGAAAACUGGAUUUUGAUAAAAAAAGAUUUGACAGAUUCUUGAAUUUUUCAUUAUUAAAGUUCUUGUCUGAGAACAGAAAAAAUGUAUGUGUUUUUUAGUUUUUUUUUACCUUUAGGAUAUGAUUAAAAAAUAACAAUGGUUAACUUUUUGGGAAAAUUUGGAUAACCAACCCACUUAUAAUAAUAAAAAGUUUUAAUUACCAAUUUAAGAAAAAGAUAAAAAUUUAUAAGUAUCAUUUUAAAACUUUAUAUCCUAAAAUAAUGUAAUCCUUCUCAUGAUUAUAGGCUAUGUAUAAUAUUAGUACUUUUUAUGCUUAUUCAAGUCUAAUUUCAUUUAAAAUAUGAGCAUCAAAAUUUAUCCAAAUUCACUUAUAUUUGUAUAAAUAAUUAAUUCAAAUCCAUUUUAAGCUCACCCAUAUUUGUUAAAAUUUGCAAUGUAGUCUUAUAUAUAUUUAUUUUAUAUGAAUUACAUAAUAUAUACUGUAAAGUAGAAAACAAAACAUGCUGUACUUGAGCUUUGAAUAUUGGAGCCUAAGAUGAACUCAUAUUUUAAACGGAUCUAAUUUUUUUGUCAAGUUCAUUUUUCUAGUCUCAUACUACUGUCCAAAACUCUCAUAUUUCGAGCGAGACUAUGGGCUUAGACUCUAGCAUAGGCAUAAUGGUAAGCCCAUUUUUGGAAGCUCUUUUUAAGUACAUGCAAGAACUUAAUAUACUUUUUUAAGUAUCUGAAAAUAAACUGUAAAUGGUAAGACACAACACUCUAGGGAGAGAAGUCAAGUUUGAGUUCUCUCCUUAGAAAUGACAUUAUUAGGAGAGGCAACCACAAAUCACGAAAAGUUUAGUGUUGUAGAUCAUAAAAUACAUAUGAAGAAUACUUUCAUUCCAACAAAAAAGAUAGCCAUAUAUUCAGAAAAGUGUUAAUCUUAGGCUGUUAGAUCUCAGCAUGUGAAAAUCUGGAACAUCACUGCAAUAUCCAGUGCUAUCACUCUCAAAAUCCAAAUACCAACAGAUAACCAGUAAAAUGCACAUUUAACUAGAUAUGACUAGUUUCAUUUCAAUGAAAAGACUAACAAGCAUGACCAAAGCAAGUACAUAAACAACCUAAUGUGAUUACACAUCGGCUUCAUACUAAAGCGAAAAAGGAACCUGGAACUUGCAAAUUCUUUUCAUUCUCCAGUUCUCUACUUGUCAAUCUACUGCACCAUGUGAGGAGGUAAAAUCAGCAACAAACAAACAAUACAAAACAAAAUUGCUAGUAAAGUGAAUGCAGGACACACACUAAGAGCAAAAAUAACGACUUUAACAAUGAUUCAUUGUCUAAAAGAUAACUCAAUCGUGGCUACUAAAUAUCGACUGAACCACUAGUGGAGUGGCAGAAGACUUGUGUUUAAGUCUUCAUUUGAUUAAAAGGAAAAAAUUUCAGCAAUAAACAAUAUAAAACAAAUUUGCAAGUAAAGGCAGGACACAUGCUAAUGGCUAAAAUAACGACUUAAAUAAAUUAUUCAUCAUCUAAAAGAUAAAUGUAGCUACUAAAUAUCAACUGAACUACUGGUGGAGUGGCAAAAGACGUGUGUUUAAGUCUUCAUUUGACAUCAGUCCUAGAUUCAAUCCCUGGACAACCCUUACCCUUAUGUUUAUAAAAAAGUGUGCUAUUGAAUGAUUCACAUAGUUACUGAAUGGAGAAAAAUGUCUUCCCAACCACUAAAUUCAAAUUAAAGGCAUCAAUUGACUGAUUAUCUUAAGCAAGGGUCACAGCAAAAAGCAAAAAACAAUAUUCCACUUUAAUUGCCACCAUAAAGUUGUCAUUAAUACUAACAUGACAUCAUAAACAAAGAAUAGCACAUUAGGUAAUUCCUAGAGGAAAAGGCAACAAAAGACAAAGCAACUAAUUUUGAUAAUGGGAUCAUUCAGAACAAAAGAAACCAAGAAAAAUCUAAAAACCAGCCGUCAUACUAUUUGGCAAAGGGGAAGGAACUAGAGCACACUUAGGCAGAUGUAUAGGAAGAAUGGCUUUCAUAGCUAUUAUAACACAAUCUACUAGUAACAAGACACUAAUCGUAAAACUCAAGGAAAUCAACUAUUAUAAUAGAAGACAUCAUCCCAAGCCAAUGAAUCUUACUCAAAAUGACAUUCAGAAAAUUAAAAGUGCCCUUUGGGAGACAAUCAGAGUCCAGCUUCCUAUGGACAAAGAAAAUGCCAUUAUUCUAGUAGUCCUUUUUUUCCCCCUUUCUUCCUUUCUUUCUUUAAGUCUUAAUUUCUAAUCUAUUACCCAGAAUUCCUUUCCAAUUACAUUGCCUUCUUGAGUACAACUAUUUGGAGAACUUUCAAUUACAUCAAAUUAACCAUAUCCAAAACCUCUCCUUCCAUUGCAUCACUCAGAUUAUCUCCCUAAACAUGUCUUGAACAUACAAAUACUUGCAAAAAUAAUUCAUAUAUGUAAAAACCCACAUAGCAAACAAUACCCAAUCUCCAAAGUUUGCCCUUUUCUUAAAUUACCUGAAAAGAAUGAGAGGUGGCCUCUAGAACUCAAUCUUGAGCUCUUCUUUUUCAUCAGAGAGGUAAUGCAGAAUGUAAGGAGUGACACGAACAACAGCUACCCACACUCCAAACAUAGCUACGUGGACCUUCAACUGCUUCAAGGCCGCCGCCUUGUCUGGUUUGCGCAUAAACAUGCCUGGGAACAUCGUUGCUUCUAUUUGAUUCUUGUGUGUACUGUAGAUUAGAGUUUUGAUCGAUGGAGAGAGGGACUAAAACCCUAGAUGAAUUGGGGAUUUUAGCGCUACGGAGAGGAAGAAAUAAGCACGUGCCUCUUUUAAAUUAUCUA
rnacentral:lncRNA from 1 species